GACGAACGCUGGCGGCGUGCUUAACACAUGCAAGUCGAACGGAAAGGCCCUGCUCUUGUGGGGUGCUCGAGUGGCGAACGGGUGAGUAACACGUGAGUAACCUGCCCUUGACUUUGGGAUAACUUCAGGAAACUGGGGCUAAUACCGGAUAGGAGCUCCUGCUGCAUGGUGGUGGUUGGAAAGUUUCGGCGGUUGGGGAUGGACUCGCGGCUUAUCAGCUUGUUGGUGGGGUAGUGGCUUACCAAGGCUUUGACGGGUAGCCGGCCUGAGAGGGUGACCGGCCACAUUGGGACUGAGAUACGGACCAGACUCCUACGGGAGGCAGCAGUGGGGAAUAUUGCACAAUGGGCGGAAGCCUGAUGCAGCAACGCCGCGUGCGGGAUGACGGCCUUCGGGUUGUAAACCGCUUUCGCCUGUGACGAAGCGUGAGUGACGGUAAUGGGUAAAGAAGCACCGGCUAACUACGUG
rnacentral:rRNA from 1 species